rnacentral:rRNA from 1 species
CAAUAGCGUAUAUUAAAGCUGUUGCGGUUAAAAAGCUCGUAGUUGGAUUUCUGUCAAGUACAACUGGUCCGCCCUCCGGGUGAGCACAUAGUUUGGUCUUGGCAUCUUGCUGGAAAUUGUUGCUGCACUUGGCUGUGUGGCGCAGUGUCCAGCACUUUCACUUUGAGGAAAUUGGAGUGUUUCAAGCAGGCAAUGCCUUUGAACACAGUAGCAUGGAAUAAUUAGAUUGGGCUUUUGCUCCAAUUUGUCGGUUUCUGGAGCUGAGGUGAGAAUUAAUGGGGAUUGUUGGGGGCAUCCGAAUUUAGCCGUCAGAGGUGAAAUUCUUGGAUCUGCUAAAGACGGACAACUGCGAAAGCGUUUGCCCAGGAUGUUUUCAUUG